rnacentral:rRNA from 1 species
GAUGAACGCUGGCGGCGUGCUUAAUACAUGCAAGUCGAACGGAAAGGCCCUGCUUUUUUCGCGUUCUCGAGUGGCGACCGGGUGAGUAACACGUGAGUAACCUGCCCUUGACUUUGGGAUAACUUCAUGAAACUGGGGCUAAUACCGGAUAGGAGCUCCUGCUGCAUGGUGGGGCUUGGAAAGUUUCGGCUUCUGGGGAUGGACUCGCGGCGUCCCAGCUUGUUGGUGGGGUAGUUGCUUACCAAGACUAUGAUGCGUAGCCGAGUUGAGAGAGUGAUCGGCCACAUGGGGACUGAGACACGGCCCAGACUCCUAAGGGAGGCUGCAGUAGGGAAUCGGCCACAAUGGGCGAAAGACUGAUGGAGCAACGGAGCGUGUGUGAUGAAGGCGCUCGGGUCGGAAAGCACUGUUGUAGGGGAAGAACAGCUAGAAUAGGAAAUGAGUGUAGUUUGACAGUAACAUACAAGAAAGGGACGGCUAAAUACGUG